rnacentral:rRNA from 1 species
UACAGAGGGGGCUAGCGUUGUUCGGAAUUACUGGGCGUAAAGGGCGCGUAGGUGGCCUGUUAAGUCGAACGUGAAAUCCCCGGGCUCAACCCGGGAACUGCGUCCGAGACUGGCAGGCUCGAAUCCGGGAGAGGGAUGUGGAAUUCCAGGUGUAGCGGUGAAAUGCGUAGAUGUCUGGAGGAACACCGGUGGCGAAGGCGGCAUCCUGGACCGGUAUUGACGCUGAGGCGCGAAAGCCAGGGGAGCAAACGGG